rnacentral:rRNA from 1 species
UACGGAGGGGGCUAGCGUUGUUCGGAAUUACUGGGCGUAAAGCGCACGUAGGCGGCUUUGUAAGUUAGAGGUGAAAGCCCGGGGCUCAACUCCGGAAUUGCCUUUAAGACUGCAUCGCUCGAAUUGUGGAGAGGUAAGUGGAAUUCCGAGUGUAGAGGUGAAAUUCGUAGAUAUUCAGAAGAACACCAGUGGCGAAGGCGACUUACUGGACACAUAUUGACGCUGAGGUGCGAAAGCGUGGGGAGCAAACAGG